rnacentral:rRNA from 1 species
CCUACGGGUGGCAGCAGUAGGGAAUCUUGCUCAAUGGGGGAAACCCUGAUGCAGCAACGCCGCGUGGAGGAUGAAGGUUUUCUGAUUGUAAACUCCUUUUGUUAGAGAAGAUAGUGACGGUGUCUAAUGACUAAGCAACGGCGAACUCCGUGCCACCAGCCGCGGUAAUAAGGAGUGUGCAAGCGUUACUCGGAGUCACUGCUGGUAAAGAGCGCGUAGGCGGGACAGCAGGUCAGAUGUGAAAUCCUAUGGCUUAACCCUAGAACUGCAUUUGAAACUGUUAUCCUAGAGUAUGGGAGAGGUAGGUGGAAUUCUUGGUGUAGCGGUAAAAUCCGUAGAGAUCAAGAGGAAUAC